AACGAACGCUGGCGGCAUGCCUAACACAUGCAAGUCGAACGAGAUCUUCGGGUCUAGUGGCGCACGGGUGCGUAACGCGUGGGAAUCUGCCCUCAGGUUCGGAAUAACCAUUGGAAACGAUGGCUAAUACCGGAUGAUGACGUUAAGUCCAAAGAUUUAUCGCCUGAGGAUGAGCCCGCGUAGGAUUAGCUAGUUGGUGUGGUAAAGGCGCACCAAGGCGACGAUCCUUAGCUGGUCUGGGAGGAUGAUCAGCCACACUGGGACUGAGACACGGCCCAGACUCCUACGGGAGGCAGCAGUGGGGAAUAUUGGACAAUGGGCGAAAGCCUGAUCCAGCAAUGCCGCGUGAGUGAUGAAGGCCUUAGGGUUGUAAAGCUCUUUUACCCGGGAUGAUAAUGACAGUACCGGGAGAAUAAGCUCCGGCUAACUCCGUG
rnacentral:rRNA from 1 species